rnacentral:rRNA from 1 species
ACCCGCUGAACUUAAGCAUAUCAAUAAGGGGAGGAAAAGAAACCAACAGGGAUUGCCUCAGUAACGGCGAGUGAAGCGGCAAAAGCUCAAAUUUGAAAUCUAGUGUCUUUGACGUUCGAGUUGUAAUUUGUAGAGGUAGCUUUGGGUGUACAGCCAGGUCUAUGUUCCUUGGAACAGGACGUCAUGGAGGGUGAGAAUCCCGUAAAUGGCUUGGCCAGUGCCUAUGUAUAGCGCCUUCGACGAGUCGAGUUGUUUGGGAAUGCAGCUCUAAGCGGGUGGUAAAUUCCAUCUAAAGCUAAAUACUGGCGAGAGACCGAUAGCGCACAAGUAGAGUGAUCGAAAGGUGAAAAGCACUCCGGAAGGAGAGUUAAACAGCACGUGAAAUUGUUGAAAGGGAAGCGCUUGAGACCAGACUCAGGUAAAGUUGAUCAACCUCCAUUCUUGGUGGUGCACUCUUCUUUGCCCGGGCCAGCAACAGUUUUGGCGGUGGUAUAAAGGUUUAGGGAAUGUGGCUCUCUUCGGGGAGUGUUAUAGCCCUAUUCGUAAUGCUGCCUGUCGAGACUGAGGACCGCGCUUCGGCUAGGUUGUUGGCGUAAUGGUCUU